UAGUCCACGCCGUAAACGAUGAUUACUCGUUGUUGGCGAUAUAUUGUCAGCGACUGAGCGAAAGCAUUAAGUAAUCCACCUGGGGAGUACGUUGGCAACAAUGAAACUCAAAGGAAUUGACGGGGGCCCGCACAAGCGGAGGAACAUGUGGUUUAAUUCGAUGAUACGCGAGGAACCUUACCUGGGCUUAAAUGUAGCGUGACCGUACCCGAAAGGGUAUUUCUCUUCGGACUGCUUACAAGGUGCUGCAUGGUUGUCGUCAGCUCGUGCCGUGAGGUGUCGGGUUAAGUCCCAUAACGAGCGCAACCCCUAUCGUUAGUUACCAGCACGUAGAGGUGGGGACUCUAACGAGACUGCCGGUGUAAACCGCGAGGAAGGUGGGGAUGACGUCAAAUCAGCACGGCCCUUACGUCCAGGGCUACACGCGUGUUACAAUGGCAGGUACAAAGGGCAGCUACACAGCAAUGUGAUGCUAAUCUCUAAAGCCUGUCUCAGUUCGGA
rnacentral:rRNA from 1 species